rnacentral:sRNA from 1 species
AAAAACAAAAGAAAAAAAUCAAAGUGGACAGAGGAACAAAAAUGGUACAUCCCACCUAAAUACCAUAAAAUUGUACUUUAAAAAUUUCUACUAAAAUUAUUAUAUUGGCUGUGAGAAAAAAAAAGAAAUCUACAAUAGGGGUUGUAGCUUUUUUGUUGGCUUUAUACAUCUUCUAAUGCCCUACCAAUUAUACCCCAAACAUUUUUUUUUGAAAUGUUAAAUACAUUGCUCAACAAAAAAUAUUAUAUACAAUAUAAAAAUGAAAUUUGCAAGAUUAUCCAUAACAAGGGACAUGAAAAAUAUCAUUGAUCUGAGUUUCGAUACAAUUCCGGAUAUAGGUGUCCAAAGCUUAUGGAUCCAAAUUCAGAUAUUUAAAUAUUUUAUAUGAUAUUUUCUGUUAGUCUUUUCUAUUUAUUGAAAUAAUAGUUAAUAUUAUUUUAAAAUUUUCAUCUAUUUUUUGCAGAUAUGGAUAGUCGCAUAUAUUGGUGGAUCCAGAUCUUGAUAUUUGUUUUAUGGAUCUAACGGAUCCAGAUCCAGAUAGUUAGUUUACGGAUCCAGCGGAUUCGGAUAGUUGUUUCACGGAUCAUGCGGAUCUAGAGGAUCAUGCGGUUCUAGAUCUGGGUAUCCCAAAAUUUUACAGAAACUAAUUUCAUGUUCAUCUUUCUAUCUACAACCGAAGAAACAAAAACAACAUGAAAAAUUGAAGGAGUUCGAUGAUAUGAGAUUAUUACCUUUUUUGAGUAAAGCAUGGAAUAUCUCAUCUCGAGAUUACUAAGGACUUUCUUCGAACAUUGUCGUCAUGUCCUUUGGUUGUUUUGAAAAGUUUAGGAAAAAAUAGGAGGCAGAGCAAAUAGAUUAUGUUAUAGAAUUCAGAGAAAUGCAUAUUUAUAUAAGAGGAGCAAUAUUUUGUGAAUUCUAGGGUUUUCAGAAGAUUUAUUUCUUAAAUGUAAUAAGUUUUUAGUAAAGAUAUUUGUUUGAUAAAACUUGGAAAAAAAAUAAUAAUGACGACCAACUAUAUCGUUAAACAAUAUCUUACUGAAAAAAUUGAGAUAAUCGCCUAUGAGAUGUUUAAAGUAAAAUAUUUCAAAUAAAGUUCUAUAGGAAUAUUGUAAAAAUAUGUUACUAUAUAAAUUUCUAAACUAAAAUAAACUCUCUCUAACUUUGACACAUCAACCUUUUUAUGUGAUGAGAAGCUGACACAUCAUUAAAACAAUAACCAAUCAAAACAUUACAAAUACUACACAUCAGAUUAAUAUCUGCCACAUCAGAUUAAAUAGAUUUAUUCAGCUUGUUGGAAAUGAAAAAAUUAAAAAUCUUGAAAGAGGCAUUCCGGUUACAUCAUGUGGCGCCAUUCAACCUCCCUCACAUGUCCACUACUGAUGUUGUGGUGGAUGGUUACUUCAUCCCCAAGGGAAGCCACAAGCUUAUUAGUCGUAUGGGGAUCGGGAGAAACCCUAAAGUGUGGGACAAACCGCUUAAGUUUGAUCCUGAGAGACAUUUAAGCAAUAACACAUGUGUAGAACUAAAAGAGCCUGAUCUCAAUAUAAUAACGUUCGGUGCAGAAAGACGAGGGUGUAUGGGUGCGGACAUUGGGUCAGCCAUGACGUACAUGUUGGUGGCUCGGUUGAUUCAAGGGUUCACGUGGUCACCAGUACCCAGUGAAAGUAAAAUUGAUAUUUCAGUAAGCAAGAGUGAUCUUUUUAUGGCAAAACCCUUAAAUGCGGUUGUAACACCUCGUUUGGAUCCAAAUGUGUAUCCAGCCUGAUUUAAAGGGUAACAAUUACAAGAAAAAUGCAUUAUUAUUAAAACAAAAAGAGAAAGAAAAAUGCAAUAUUAACUGCAUGUAUUGGUAUUUUUUUUUUUUUCCGGACAAUACAGGUAAUGGUAGUAUGUUAAAUAGUUUAUCUAGAAACAGCUAUUACAAAUAAUAU